GGUUCUGCUUUUCUUCCCAAUCAAAUCAAUCAAGUAUAGCAAGAUAGUCCAGAAAAGAGUAGAAGGUAUAAAGCUUCUUUCAUCAUAUACACAGGGAUAUGAAUGUUUUAAACAUUUUCUGGUUCUCAUGAUCAGACUGACUUCUGAAAAUGCAGGUUAGUUUUCUAUAACCAAAGAUGCCUUUUCUUACCUUGCUAACACUUGCCAAUUAUUCUUUUAUUUUUCCCCCCUGGUGAUAUGUGAAUUCUAUGACCUGAAUUUUUUAGUGUCUUCUUUUACUUUUAUUUAGUGAAUAAAUAUUGAUUAUCAUGGAUGUGAACAGUCUAUCAUUGGUAGAUGGACCUUUCUUUUAGUAUUCCAUGGAUAGGAUAGAUGUGAAUGUACAUAAGAAUUGACUGUUAAAAAAGCGCAUUAAUAUUUAGAAAUUUGGCAGCAGCUCUCAAUACGAGUUGGUCCCCUGUCUGUGCAAUGGACACCAGAGAUAGAGGAAAAGAUGUUUUUGUUAUUUCAGGUUAACAUGUAGGUUUGUUUACUUGUGGGACCUUUCAA
rnacentral:misc_RNA from 1 species